rfam:Candidatus Burkholderia pumila strain TZHbot3 BPMIctg19, whole genome shotgun sequence.
GUCAUCGCGAGGCGGGGUCUGAAGGAAACGUGUAGCAAAGCCAUGACCUGACGAACAGAAACCAGAUGUGAGGCCUACCCGGGCGGACGAGCGAGCCAAUGAUCGCGAAGUCCAUAGCCAUCAAGGUCCGGGGUGGUAGAUCUGACGGGUGUAUGGCGAAGGCGGUUGGG